rnacentral:lncRNA from 1 species
AUGCUGGGAAAUGUGGAGGACUCUGAAGAGAGGGCGGUCCUUCUUCCCGACUUUCACUCCUUUUUCCGCUUCCUCCUCUCCUCCUCCUCAUCACACGCCAGGCUCCUCCUCCUGCUAGGCCCAAGGUGCACCUGGCGAAAGAGGUGGAGGAAUGGCAGCACUUCGCCCCGCUCGCCUCUGAUGCAGGGGAAGCAAGGCAGCACCACGCUGCCUGUUGUUUUUCCUCGCACAGGCACUUGCUCCCCUGUUCAGGAUCCGCUUGCCACAGGCAAAGGCAGGAGAGUGAGAGUGGGUGUGAGCAUCUGGACGAGGAAAAGCAGCAGGCGGCGCUGCCUUGCUUUGCCUUGCCUUGCUUCCCCUGCAUCAGAGGCGAGCAGGGUGGGGCAAUGCCGUUCCCCCGCCUCUUUCGCCAGGUGCGCCUUGGACCUAGCAGAGCCCACGCUGUGCCGCUUCUUCUUCCCUCCAGGUCUGCUGACAGGGAGGCCGGCCACGUGUGCACCGAAAUGGCCACCGAUCUUUUAUCCCUCACUACUGUGCCCUUUAUAAAGAAAGUUUGAGAUCUUGGACAGCAUUAUGGCCCUUUCCACAGUAAGUAGUGCAGUACAGUACAAUCCCCAUAUCCACAAGACAGGUAACUGUAGUUUCAAUUAUCUACAUCUAACAAAAUGUGUCAUUAUUUAUUGGUCCUCCAGGCAACUCUAUGAAAUUUGACCAUAGAAAGAUAUUCUAAGUUUUCCUAUGUCUUUUAUCAUGACUCUGUGGUAUGAUGUCACAUUUUGUUUUGUUCCAUAGCAUUUGCUAUUGUCUGCAUUUUUGCAAAUCCACAACGAGAUCUUGAAUGUCUUUCCUGAAAAUACAGGGGCCAUAUUAAACAAGCUUUUUUGGAAAGCUUAUUUAAAUGGGAAAAUAGAAAUUUGUUUCCCUAAUAAGUAUGAAAAAUCUGCUCUGUUACAAGAUGAGAAACCCCUGUGGUGCUCACUGUUCUAGACAGCCAGUAUAUUCAAUAAACACAGUCAAGAUGGGAUUGUAGAGCCACAUUCUUCUUAUUCGGUGGUAACAAUAAGGAACCACUCUUGUUGACUGUCAAUGAAUAUCUAUACCAAUCCAUUAUAGGAACCUCAACCUAUUUGCCGCUAGAAUCACCAUGCAUCGUGGCAAAUUCAGCAGUGCUUGGUGGGGGAAUCCACCUCAUUCUAUGGGGAAAAGCAUCCGCCAGCCAGCUUCCCUCCAUUAAUUUGUAUGUGACAUGGGAAGCCUCCUAUGUUGUAGCUGUGGCGGCAUAUGUGGUUCCCCAUCCCUUUACCACGAAGCCCCACUGGAAGUAGCUAUGCAUCAUGGGAUGGGAGCCAGCAAGUUCUGUGGCAAAAGAGAAGGGGAACUGGCAUUGCUGCCGAAUUCAGCCCCGUCUGAUGAGGUUAAAAUCUCUCAAACAAGGUCUGCAGCUUCAUGCUUAAAAUAAAAGCAUUUGACAUAAAGUAUGCUUUAUCCAUCUUGAUAAAUUGAAGAUUUUUUUAUUAAUAAUCAUCUUACAUUACAAGUAUGAUGUAUGACAAAAGCAAAGUUCUCGUGUACAUACUAUAAUAUAUCAACAUAGCUCUAUUCGUAUCCAGUGUCCUAGCCCCUCUCACACAGGUACUAUAAAGCAUAGUCUGCAAAAUAACAUUUUAAACAUUGUCAGAAAAAAGUGUGAUAUAAACAUUUUAAUACAUAUGUAAUAAUAUAUUUCUAAAUUGUUCCUCCCCCUCCCCUCCUUUACAUGUGUGCAUGGUCAAACAAACUGUUUGAGACUGGGCUUGUGAGGGGAAGGGGUGAGGGGAAGGCCAAACACGAGGAGGUAUUUCCAUCCCCUUGAUGCUUCUGAGUUAUGCAAGGAUGCCUGAAGAGGAGAAAUCCAGCAGCCCUCCUUGUUGCAUUUAUACAAUUACAGUUUGUGUGAUUUCCCUUCCCAGUGUGGGCUGGGGAAGCUUUUCUGUACAUGAGGUGAGGUGCUUGAAGGAUUUCAAUACAGAGUGAGAGUGUUUGUUGGCAGCAUGCGGGCCAGAGAAGAGUCCAGUAGCCAUGAGAAGGUAAAACUGUUCAUGAGGUUGAGUCCUGAGGAAAACAUUUUCUAGGUAGCUGUUCUUGUAUGGAUUGACACUCUACAGUCCUGAAGAUGUGGGGUUUCAGGUAGGCCUGGUUUGUAACUGAGGUGGGUUUCCAGAGUUGUGUGGUGGCAACGCCCUGAUGUAUCACAAGAGGAUAAGCAAACCUCAAUUUCCAGAGGUAUGUGGCACAAGUUCGCUCAACAUAAAGCUGCACAACACCAGUGCAAGUAGUCACUUGAUUGAAGGAAAUUCGUUUCUACAUUUUCCAAACGAAUCCUCCCAAUGAUCAGAAUAAUUGUAACAACGAAACUUGCAUAAAAUAUUACAUAGUGCCUGGAUGCUUGAAAUCUGGAUGUUUUAUCUCUCCCCCCCCCCAAAAAGUAUUUUUAAGAUACCUUUCUUACCAACAGAAAACAAUUUUCACCUGCAGAAUCAAAAUGGCUUUGUCGAAACAUGGGCAAAGAAAGGGAAAAUUCAGCUCAAAGACCUCCCAGCAUGAAUUUCACAAAGGAAUGAUCAAUGAAAAUUGUGGUUGGGCCUGCAACAAAUGUAUGAUUCUGUUAGUCAUAGUUUUAAAGGAUAACAUCACAUCAACAGUGUUUUUGUCAGAGUGGUUCAGUUGUAAUUACUCAAGCCAGAACUGCUGAAAUGAAUUCAGUAUUCAGGAUAGUGUUUGCCAUCUGAUGACUUCAGUUCAUUGUUCAUUCUGAAAACCAUUUGAAUGAUCAAUUUAUUUUCAACAAAGAAAAACUGCAUUUUCUUAAAAAGUGUAAUCAAAGAGGAUAUUAGUAGUGAAGGUACAGCAAUACAACUGCACAUACAGGGAACAUCUGUGGCAUGACUCCCCAGCUAAAUACAUUCACCAUUUAACAUUGCACUUAAACUUUUUCUUCUUAUGCUAGAUCCACUUUCCAGAUACUAUCUUCUCCCUCAUUUUUGAGUUUCAUUGUCUUUUAUAAAAACAAAAUAAUCCUAGCUGCAUAAAUGUAGUACUGCUGAAAGUCAAUGAGGCUUGGCCAAGUGCAACUAAUGCCUGUAUUCCACUCAAAUGUAUCAUACCAUUUCAAUUUGCUAACUACAAGGCCAUAUCAAUUAGGAGAAGCGCAAGCUGUAUUUCCACCUGCAGUUAUUUAGCAAAGAAGGAAAGUGCACAAGUGGAUUGAAUACAUAUUUGCCAAAAGUAAGAAUGCAGGCAUCUACAGCCUACGUUGCACUAAAUGCAUUCACUAUAAUUUAUCACAAGAUGUCCCAGUACUGCUGCGCAGGCAUCAAUUAACACAUUGUGAACCCCGCUGGUAUGCCGACCCACAGCAAAAUACUUUCACUAGACAGCUUUCUUUCAAUAGGCAAACACUGGAGUGAAAUUGAAUGCCACACCUUUAAUUUUGUGUGCUGUAUGCCUCUCACAUAAACACAGGGCCAGCCUUUGCAACAGAGCAGUCAGUUCUCUAAAUCUAUUUAUAUCCAUUGAAAACAUAUAAAUAUAUAAAUAUAUAGUCUAUUAUUUAUAUAGUGACAUAUAGCCAUGUGAAUUAAUUUCUUAUAUGGUGUGGUCUAUAUGAAGUAUUACAUGGGGCAUGCUAUACAUAAGCUAUAGGCAUAAUCUAGCCACUGAUUUCAGUGGGAGGAUGAAGCUCAUACUCAAGUUUCUCCCUCUAAAAUCAUGUGAGUAUCAAAAUGCUGUCUUAGUCAGAUCAUGUCCAGUGAGAGGGCAAUCCAGAGAAAGUUGGUUGAACCAAAAUCUACCUGAAAGCAAUAUGAUCUAAAAGCUCAAGUACCAUAGAUUUCUUUAGAUUGCACCUUUUGGGGAAUCAGUAUUAUGUAUAUACACCAGGUUUCAAAGAGACAUAUUCUACCUGCUUACAAAGGGAAAUAAGAAUUGCAUAGAUAUUACUGGUGUGAAAGUAUUAUUGGAGUGAAAAUACAAUGGCUGAAGAGCAGAAUUAAUUAUUUCUAAUUGUUGAGGAACCACUUUUAUGGAUUGAGUUGAUUUUUGUUGUUUAAACUGAGGAGGGACAGUGGCUACACUGGCUGGGGAUUCUGGGAACAGUUGUUCCCCAAAAAUAAGUUCCAAGCUAUGAGGUAACCAUGGGGGAAAAUGGACAUCAACCCUAUUACACAACAUACUGUAGAAACAAUGUUAAGUAGAAAAAUAACCUGAAAGAUUUCUUAGCAGCUGAGUUUGUGCUGUAGGAUCAAAAUGUCUGAAUAGUCUUUAAGAGCCCAUCCUUGCAAAAAUGCAAGCAACAAGCACAAUCAACACAAGGAUGUUUUGAUACAGAGGGCAUGCCUUUAUAAGAGGACAAACUUGCAUUGUCCAUGCAUGCGUCCUCACUGUGCUUUUGAAAAUGUAGAAAUAGCUUUGGUUUUCUGUUUUGUUAUGAUACUCCCUGUUGUGUUUGGCUUUUGGCCCUACGACUUUGAUUCCAUGCAUUAUUGGUAGGCUGCAUGUAAGAUGAUACAAGUAUGUGUUUAGUAUGUUUCAGACAGAGAGAAACAUGCUGCUGUGAUAGAGCCUGAAUUAAAAGAUAGUUGGUAAAUAUGUAACAAAACUCCAACAAGGUAGAAUUCUUAGUAAGGAGUCAAGGUUUACAAAGUGAUAUGCACAAAUUAUUCACAGAAGCUGAAAACAACAGAAACACUUGAUUACAAACUGUUUCUUUACAUUAUUCAGAAAUAUAGGCACGCAUAUAUUCUUAACUAUGAUAUCUUGUCUGAACAUAACAGGCUGAUUAAUUUGGUUUCUAAAUACUGGAUCCUUUACAUAUUGACCAUUUUUAUCUCCUUCUCUCUGCAAGAGAAAACUAUACAAUAUUUUUGAGUGAGAAACAUGCAAGCAAUUAUCAGAUGGAGAAUUAAUGUUCCCUUGUGCUCUUCUGCUGCCCUAGACAUCUACAAAUACUUUAACAGCUGAUGCCCUCUAGUGUACUUUAUUUUUCACUACAUUUUGUCUGAUCGAAAUUACAACCAAACAGAUAGCUAGAAGUGUUGAAUGGAAAUCUAAACCUAACUGACUUCAGGCAUCUUCUUUCUAGUUCACUGGCUAGAGAAC